rnacentral:rRNA from 1 species
ACGCUAGCUACAGGCUUAACACAUGCAAGUCGAGGGGCAGCAUUUCAGUUUGCUUGCAAACUGGAGAUGGCGACCGGCGCACGGGUGAGUAACACGUAUCCAACCUGCCGAUAACUCGGGGAUAGCCUUUCGAAAGAAAGAUUAAUACCCGAUGGUAUAAUCAGACCGCAUGGUCUUGUUAUUAAAGAAUUUCGGUUAUCGAUGGGGAUGCGUUCCAUUAGGCAGUUGGUGAGGUAACGGCUCACCAAACCUUCGAUGGAUAGGGGUUCUGAGAGGAAGGUCCCCCACAUUGGAACUGAGACACGGUCCAAACUCCUACGGGAGGCAGCAGUGAGGAAUAUUGGUCAAUGGGCGCAGGCCUGAACCAGCCAAGUAGCGUGAAGGAUGACUGCCCUAUGGGUUGUAAACUUCUUUUAUAUGGGAAUAAAGUUUUCCACGUGUGGAAUUUUGUAUGUACCAUAUGAAUAAGGAUCGGCUAACUCCGUGCCAGCAGCCGCGGUAAUACGGAGGAUCCGAGCGUUAUCCGGAUUUAUUGGGUUUAAAGGGAGCGUAGGUGGACAGUUAAGUCAGUUGUGAAAGUUUGCGGCUCAACCGUAAAAUUGCAGUUGAUACUGGCUGUCUUGAGUACAGUAGAGGUGGGCGGAAUUCGUGGUGUAGCGGUGAAAUGCUUAGAUAUCACGAAGAACUCCGAUUGCGAAGGCAGCUCACUGGACUGCAACUGACACUGAUGCUCGAAAGUGUGGGUAUCAAACAGGAUUAGAUACCCUGGUAGUCCACACAGUAAACGAUGAAUACUCGCUGUUUGCGAUAUACAGUAAGCGGCCAAGCGAAAGCAUUAAGUAUUCCACCUGGGGAGUACGCCGGCAACGGUGAAACUCAAAGGAAUUGACGGGGGCCCGCACAAGCGGAGGAACAUGUGGUUUAAUUCGAUGAUACGCGAGGAACCUUACCCGGGCUUAAAUUGCAUUUGAAUAAUCUGGAAACAGGUUAGCCGCAAGGCAAAUGUGAAGGUGCUGCAUGGUUGUCGUCAGCUCGUGCCGUGAGGUGUCGGCUUAAGUGCCAUAACGAGCGCAACCCUUAUCUUUAGUUACUAACAGGUCAUGCUGAGGACUCUAGAGAGACUGCCGUCGUAAGAUGUGAGGAAGGUGGGGAUGACGUCAAAUCAGCACGGCCCUUACGUCCGGGGCUACACACGUGUUACAAUGGGGGGUACAGAAGGCAGCUACCUGGUGACAGGAUGCUAAUCCCAAAAGCCUCUCUCAGUUCGGAUCGAAGUCUGCAACCCGACUUCGUGAAGCUGGAUUCGCUAGUAAUCGCGCAUCAGCCAUGGCGCGGUGAAUACGUUCCCGGGCCUUGUACACACCGCCCGUCAAGCCAUGAAAGCCGGGGGUACCUGAAGUACGUAACCGCAAGGAGCGUCCUAGGGUAAAACUGGUAAUUGGG